UACGGGGGGGGCAAGCGUUGUUCGGAAUUACUGGGCGUAAAGGGCUUGUAGGUGGCCAACUAAGUCAGACGUGAAAUCCCUCAGCUUAACUGGGGAACUGCGUCUGAUACUGGAUGGCUUGAGUUUGGGAGAGGGACGCGGAAUUCCAGGUGUAGCGGUGAAAUGCGUAGAUAUCUGGAGGAACACCGGUGGCGAAGGCGGCGGCCUGGACCAACACUGACACUGAAAAGCGAAAGCCAGGGGAGCAAACGGG
rnacentral:rRNA from 1 species